GCACAAUGAAUUAUGGCCAGCUCUUCAAACUACAGCAAAUUACUAACAUACGAACCACCAAUCUCAAACAUAUGAUUCUAAUAUUAUGUAGAACGGCAUGCUACUUGCUGUAGAUCAAAUGUGCAUGCCUAGGAUAUAGAACAAACACCAAAUACAUCAAACAACAAUAGUGGAAGAAAAAUUUGGAAGAGAAAAAUAAAUUUAUUCAAAAGAAAAUAAAGAUCGAAACAAUGAGUUUACCUUCUCCCACAAAAAAGCCUCA
rnacentral:lncRNA from 1 species